GCCCUAAUAGUAUAACCAUUACCUUGGUCUUGUAAACCAAAAAUGAAGAUCCUAUCUUCUUAGAGC
rnacentral:tRNA from 1 species